AGAGUUUGAUCCUGGCUCAGAACGAACGCUGGUAGCGUGGAUUAGGCAUGCAAGUCGAACGGGAUCACCUGGAUAGCAAUAUUCGGGUGUGAGAGUGGCGGAUUGGGGAGGAACACGUGAACAACCUGCCCGUGAGUUGGGGAAAACCAUUGGAAACGAUGGCUAAUAUCCGAUGUGGCGCCCGGGGACAUCCUCGGAGCGCUAAAGGGGGCCGCAAGGCUCCCGCUCGUGGAGGGGUUCGCGCACCAUCAGCUUGUUGGCGGGGUAACGGCCCACCAAGGCCUACGGUUAGCUGGUCUGAGAGGAUGACCAGCCCCACUGGGACUGAGAUACUGCCCAGACUCCUACGGGAGGCUGCAGUCGAGGAUCAUUUGCAAUGGGCGAAAGCCUGACAAUGCGACGCUGCGUGGAGGAUGAAGGCCUUCGGGUUGUAAACUCCUGUCAUAGGGGAACAGGCGAUCCGACCUAAUACGUCGGUGAGUUGAGUGUACCCUAAGAGGAAUUGGCGGCUAACUCUGUGCCAGCAGCCGCGGUAAUACAGAGGCCAAGAGCGUUGUUCGGAUUUACUGGGCGUAAAGGGCGCGUAGGCGGUCUUGCGUGUCAAGUGUGAAAUCUCCGGGCUCAACCCGGAAAGUGCGCUUGAAACUACAGGACUCGAGUCUGGGAGAGGGAAUCGGAAUAUAGGGUGUAGCGGUGAAAUGCGUUGAUAUCCUAUAGAACACCGGAGGCGAAGGCGGAUUCCUUGAACGGUACUGACGCUGAGGCGCGAAAGUCGGGGGAGCAAACAGGAUUAGAUACCCUGGUAGUCCCGACCUUAAACGGUGC
rnacentral:rRNA from 1 species